UACGUAGGGUGCAAACGUUAUCCGGAAUUACUGGGCGUAAAGGGCGCGCAGGCGGAUCGAUAAGUGAGGCAUGAAAGCUUCGGGCUAAACCUGGAGAGGCUGUCUGAGACUGUCGAUCUGGAGUGCGAUAGAGGGGUGUAGAAUUCCGCGUGUAGUGGUGAAAUGCGUAGAGAUGCGGAGGAAUACCAGAGGCGAAGGCGGCACCCUGGAUCGUAACUGACGCUGAGGCGCGAAAGCGUGGGGAGCAAACAGG
rnacentral:rRNA from 1 species